AAACGUCGGAGGCGGGGGAGGGGGGCCAAGGGAGGUAGAUAGGGUCGUCGAGUCUACGCGGGAUUGAAUAAUUCCAGGAUCAAGGGGGGUAUUUGCCUCUGUGGCUCCCUUUGCCUGGAAGCCUUACCGAGUCCCAUCCAUGCCUUUGGAAGUCCUGAGAAAAUGCUUCAAGCUGGAUCCCAAAUGUCAUCCCCUCAACAGAGCCUUUAAUUGAGCUUUUCAACCCAUUGUGCUUCCUCAAAACGGUUCCUCUUAAAUAUUCUGGGAAGCUACAGGAGAGGAAACACUUUGAGAUGGUGGCUGGAGGUACCAGGACAAGGCAUGCUACCACUUGGU